GUUUUUGUAGUUGAAAUACAACGGUGGUUUUUCA
rnacentral:tRNA from 1 species